GGGCCCGCACAAGCGGUGGAGCAUGUGGUUUAAUUCGAUGAUACGCGAGGAACCUUACCAGGGCUUAAAUGUAGUGGGACAGGUCUAGAGAUAGACCCUUCUUCGGACUCAUUACAAGGUGCUGCAUGGUUGUCGUCAGCUCGUGCCGUGAGGUGUCAGGUUAAGUCCUAUAACGAGCGCAACCCCUGUUGUUAGUUGCCAGCGAGUAAUGUCGGGAACUCUAGCAAGACUGCCAGUGCAAACUGUGAGGAAGGUGGGGAUGACGUCAAAUCAUCACGGCCCUUACGUCCUGGGCUACACACGUGCUACAAUGGUAGGUACAGAGAGCAGCCAAUGCGCGAGCAUGAGCAAAUCUAUAAAACCGAUCUCAGUUCGGAUCGGGGUCUGCAACUCGACCCCGUGAAGCUGGAAUCGCUAGUAAUCGG
rnacentral:rRNA from 1 species